UAUAGCUCACUAGUCUAGUGACUCCGCGCGGAAGAUGUAACGGGGCUCAAGCGCAUUACCGAAGCUGCGGAUUUAUAAGGUAUUCGUACCUUUUAAGUGGUAGGAGAGCGUUCUCGCGUAGGCUGAAGGUCGAGCGACAAGCACGGCUGGACGAACGAGAAGUGAUCAUGCUGACAUAAGUAGCGUUUAAGACGGGUGAAAAACCCGUCCGCCGAAAACUCAAGGGUUCCUGGGCAAGGAUAAUCCUCCCAGGGUUAGUCGAGACCUAAGACGAGGCCACUAGGCGUAGUCGAUGGAUGAACGGUUAAUAUUCCGUUACCUGUCCUGGUGUAAGUAUAGGAGUGACGAACUAGGAUACACCAGCCCCUUAUUGGAUUGGGGUGUAAGUGCGUAGAGGGUGAUGUAGGCAAAUCCGCAUCACUUAACCUUGAAACAUGAAUGCGAGCGGAUUUUAUCCGCGGAAGUGGUGAAUUCCAUGGUUCCAAGAAAAGCUUCGAUAUGUUGUUAGGAGAGCUCGUACCGUAAACCGACUCAGGUGAGUGGGAUGAAUAUUCUAAGGCGAUUGGGUUAAAACUGGUGAAGGAACUCGGCAACUUAACACCGUAACUUCGGAAAAAGGUGUGCCACGGUAGGGUUUAUAGCCCGAUGUGGUCGCAGAGAAAUGGGAGUAGCGACUGUUUAUCAAAAACACAGGGCUGUGCAAAGUCACAAGACGACGUAUACAGCCUGACGCCUGCCCGGUGCUGGAAGGUUAAGAGGAUUUGUCAGCCGCAAGGCGAAGCAGAGAAUCGAAGCCCCAGUAAACGGCGGCCGUAACAAUAACGGUCCUAAGGUAGCGAAAUUCCUUGUCGGGUAAGUUCCGACCUGCACGAAUGGCGUAACGACUUCUCCGGUGUCUCCACCAGAUGCCCAGCGAAUUUGAACUCUCAGUGAAAAUGCUGAGUACCCGCAGAAAGACGGAAAGACCCCGUGAACCUUUACUCUAGCUUGGCAGUGAUCUUAGAUUUAGCAUGUGUAGCAUAGGUGGGAGCCUUUGAAGCCCGAGCGCUAGCUUGGGUGGAGGCAACAUUGAAAUACCACCCUUGUUGACUUUGAGAUCUAACCUGCGUCCUUGACAGGACGAGGGACACUGUCUGGUGGGGAGUUUGACUGGGGCGGUCGCCUCCAAAAGAGUAACGGAGGCGUACGGAGGUUCGCUCAGCCUGAUUGGAAACCAGGCGGUGAGUGCAUUGGCAUAAGCGAGCUUAACUGCAAGACCUACAAGUCGAGCAGAUGCGAAAGCAGGUCAAAGUGAUCCGGUGGUCCCGUGUGGAAGGGCCAUCGCUCAACGGAUAAAAGGUAC
rnacentral:rRNA from 1 species